rnacentral:lncRNA from 1 species
CAGAAUUCAUACCUUGAUAUAGACUAGACGAACGUCCACCUUCUGGAAGUUAACAGAGAAAAAGCAUCUCCUUGAAGCUGAAAGGAAACCUCCACAGGCCUCCCAGCCCCCGGAACACCUGGGGCCUCCGCCCAGUCACCAGGCAGCUCCACUCACAGGCUACCUUCCUUCCCAGGCCCCAGUGACUACCUAUUCCAGGGAGGAGUGGCCUCUCUCAGCAGCCUGCCAAGCUCUUCCCAAGGAGAACAGGAGGGGAAGUUUGAAGGGCCUUCAUCCAAUUUUUAAACUGUAAACUGCACACCCACUUUUUGUUUGGAGACAUUUCCUG